rnacentral:rRNA from 1 species
GACGUAGGGUGCAAGCGUUGUCCGGAUUUACUGGGCGUAAAGAGCGCGUAGGCGGUCCAUUAAGUGUGAAGCUAAAUCUCCCGGCUCAACCGGGAAACUGUUUCGCAUACUGAUGGGCUGGAGUGAUGCAGAGGUGGAUAGAAUUCCCGGUGUAACGGUGAAAUGUGUUGAUAUCGGGAGGAAUACCCGUGGCGAAGGCGGUCCACUGGGCAUCAACUGACGCUGAGGCGCGAAAGCGUGGGUAGCAAACAGG